UGAUGUAGCGCAGAGGAAGUGCGUCUGCCUGCUACGCAAAGGUCUCGGGUUCAAUUCCCGUUCAG